CUGGCCAGCUGGCCAGUUCUCUGAGCCAAAGCCGCAUUGACGUUAGGGCUAUUAUCGAACGGUCUGUAUCGGUGUCGAUAUGCUCUAAGCGUACGUGAUAUAUGUUGAUGGCGCGAAGGGAAUAGUCAGCGUGAACCGUAUCAAGAAGUUCAAACCGGCGAGCGUUGGCGACUUCGACCCCGACGUGCCGAAAAGCGUCUACUGGAAGGCUGUUGGAGCGUGCGCCGGGGAAUGAGACACGAGGUCAGCUGGUUGCUGCUUUGAAAAAGAAGCAUGUGGCCAUCCCUAUGAUAUUGUACUCAAGAUACGAGUGGGUGGCAAGUACAAGAAAAAAGAAGACGGAGGAC